CAGAAUGGACUAGCUCUUGUGCCUAACGUUAAGUAAUUGUAGAGUGGGAGAGUCUGAGCCAAGGCUGUGGAUUCUCUCAUCCAGAAAGAGAGUCCUGAAGGAUUUAACCUCAUGGUGAGGCUGCUCUCCAGCAGCAGAGGUUACAAAUCUCCUCCAUGUGCAAGUUUACACAAGGUCACGUCAGAGAACCAGGAUGAAGUCAGUAGUAAUCAUGCUGUUGAAUACUCUGUGGUUCAGAUGUGUUCAUCACCAAAGCCAAAACAUACAGAACACCAGAAGUAAUCCUGUCACAGCUGAAAUCAGGACAAGAUACCCCUGUUGGACUGCCACCAAAUCCAGGCCUUUACCACUUGAUACGUGCAAAACCACUGCUGUACUGGGAAAAUGAGUUGUUCUAGACCCUAACUGAAAUUCCAGUAGAUAGAUGAAACUUCUGCCCUUCAGGGGGCAUUGGAUCAGGUUCCUAAUCUAGUGGUUCUUCAUUUGCACCAUCCUCUUUUCCGUGGAGCCCUGUA